ensembl:lncRNA
AAAAUGUUCCAGCACAAAAUAACAAGGAGUGUCUGACUCUGACAGUAAAUAUUCAUAUCAGAUGCUUUAAAUAGUGCUGCAUAUACAUAUAAGGUGUUAGUUCUACAGUUCAGGAUAGUUCAGUUCUCACCUACUCAUCAUGUUGAAGCUGAUCCUCUCUGUGACCGUCCUCUGGACAUUCUUCAGUCAAGCUGCAGCACUUGAUUGUCUAAGUUGCAAUGGUACAUGUUCAACUGAAACUACAGUUACAUGUUCUACAGAAACUAUGUGUGUAACUGCCACCAUCACAGAGACAUCCAUUUUUUCAGCUGACACAACAAAAAUCCACAAAGGAUGUGCAUCAUCAGAUCUGUGUCCAAUCACAGGCUCUCAAACAUAUGAACUUAACUUGGGUGUUUCAGGUGCACUGAUAUCUGUUGAGUGCUGUAACUUUGAUGGGUGUAACAAUGAUACCUUACCUGCACAUACUCAGUCACAGACUCUAAGUGGUCUCAGUUGUUUCUCCUGUGUAUUCGGUCGAUGUGAUGGUUCGAUUGACUGUAAGGGAGACGAGACCCUGUGUAUUCAAGGAACAUUGAACGAAGAAAUUCGUGGUUGUGUAUCACCAAAUGUGUGUCCUGCAAGUAGAAGGUUGGGAGAACUACCAUUAUUACCAGAUUUAGGAACCUUCAGCUCUGGACCAAACUGUUGUGAUACAGAUGAAUGUAAUGAUGGAACUACAACUACCCCACCUCCAACUACAACACCUGAAAGACUCAGAUGUCAAAGUUGCAAUGGUUCAUGUUCAACUGAAACUACAGUUACAUGUUCUACAGAAACUAUGUGUGUAACUGCCACCAUCACAGAUGUUUUAGCUGAAGAUGAGAGUUUUUUCAAAGGAUGUGCUCCUCCCACACUGUGUCCACACAACGGCACCUUUAACUUUUCUACUGAUGUGUUUGAUUCACAUAAAAUCAUAGAUGCUGAAUGCUGCGACACAAACAACUGCAACUCAGAAACUCUGCCUGUUCCUGUUCAACAGGAAACAAAUGGACUUGAGUGUUACGUCUGUAUCUUCUUCUCUGGAUCCAACGUUUGUACAGCGUUUACUGUCCAAUGUAAAGGAGCACAGGAUCGCUGCUUUAUUGGAUCUGCCUCAACUGAUAAUGGAGUUCUACUUGUUGCUGGCUGCACAUCAACAGAUGUGUGUGAUAUUGCUCCUGAUCACGGUGUACUGCCAUUUAUGGAAGAAGUGGGAAAUCUAACCAGUGGACCAACCUGUUGUGGAACAAACCGCUGCAACGUCUAGGCAGCAACAACUGGACCAACUACAACUCCCUAACACCAGCAACUGUUCUGCUACUUAUUCUGCUACUGUUUAAUGUGAACUGGUUAAAAAAAUAUUUACUGCUUUUCUACUUGGAACUGUAAUCCAAGUCUUUAAAUCAAAAAUAAUAAUCAAUGAUUUAAUGAAUCAACUAUUAAUAUGUUAUAGAGGGUGAACAUUUAUUUUUACAGAUAGACAUUAUUUUCCAGGUUAUGUAUUUGUAAUACUCUUGACUUUCUACAUUUUGCAAAAAACAACAAUGAUAAUAAUAAUGCUGCUUUACUCUGAACAGCAGUGGUACCAAGGGUAAAUUAAAUGAUUAAUGUGUCAAACUAACUAUGUCACUUGUUAUCUGGGAAAAAUGAAAUGAAAUAAAGAUUUACUCUAACUGUAAUGUAACA